rnacentral:rRNA from 1 species
ACGCUCGACACCUACGGGAGACAGCAGUGGGGAAUAUUGGGCAAUGGAGGCAACUCUGACCCAGCAACGCCGCGUGAAUGAUGAAGGUCUUCGGAUUGUAAAGUUCUGUGACGGGGGACGAACACAAUGACGGUACCCCGAUAGCAAGCCACGGCUAACUACGUGCCAGCAGCCGAGGUAAUCUGAGCGGGCUGGCAAGGC